rnacentral:rRNA from 1 species
GACGAACGCUGGCGGCGUGCUUAACACAUGCAAGUCGAACGGAAAGGCCCUGCUUUUGUGGGGUGCUCGAGUGGCGAACGGGUGAGUAACACGUGAGUAACCUGCCCUUGACUUUGGGAUAACUUCAGGAAACUGGGGCUAAUACCGGAUAGGAGCUCCUGCUGCAUGGUGGGGGUUGGAAAGUUUCGGCGGUUGGGGAUGGACUAGCGGCUUAUCAGCUUGUUGGUGGGGUAGUGGCUUACCAAGGCUUUGACGGGUAGCCGGCCUGGGAGGGUGACCGGCCACAAUGGGACUGAGAUACGGCCCAGACUCCUACGGGAGGCAGCAGUGGGGAAUAUUGCACAAUGGGCGGAAGCCUGAUGCAGCAACGCCGCGUGCGGGAUGACGGCCUUCGGGUUGUAAACCGCUUUCGCCUGUGACGAAGCGUGAGUGACGGUAAUGGGUAAAGAAGCACCGGCUAACUACGUG